GUUUUAAUAAUUUAAGUAAAAAUAAUGAUUUUGUAAAUCAUCUUUAAGAACUAUCUUUUAAAACU
rnacentral:tRNA from 1 species